GCUCGCCUUGGCAGGGCAUGAACAAAAAUUGCAAUGAUACAGAGAAGAUUAGCAUGGCCCCUGUACAAGAAUGACAGACAAAUUCAUGAAGCUUUUUAUAUUUAU
ensembl:snRNA LOC120100164 U6 spliceosomal RNA